GACGAACGCUGGCGGCGUGCUUAACACAUGCAAGUCGAACGGAAAGGCCCUGCUUGCAGGGUACUCGAGUGGCGAACGGGUGAGUAACACGUGGGUGAUCUGCCCUGCACUUCGGGAUAAGCCUGGGAAACUGGGUCUAAUACCGGAUAGGAGCCAUUUUUAGUGUGAUGGUUGGAAAGUUUUUUCGGUGUAGGAUGAGCUCGCGGCCUAUCAGCUUGUUGGGGGGGUAAUGGCCUACCAAGGCGGCGACGGGUAGCCGGCCUGAGAGGGUGGACGGCCACAUUGGGACUGAGAGAAGGCCCAGACGCCUAAGGGAGGAAGCAGUGGGGAAUAUUGCACAAGGGGCGCAAGCCGGAUGCAGAGACGCCGCGUGGGGGAUGACGGCCUUGGGGUUGUAAACUCCUUUCGCUAGGGACGAAGCUUUUUGUGACGGUACCUAGAUAAGAAGCACCGGCUAACUACGUG
rnacentral:rRNA from 1 species